CAAACCGGCCUAAAAUAAUUGACGGUCCUUAAUUUACAAUCAAAUUAUUUCAAUAAUAGCAUUUUCUCCACAGUUCAUGGGCUAUAAUCACUCAAGUCUCUAGAUAUCUCUUACAAUGAACUAAAAGGAACCAUCCAAAUGAAAGGUUAGUUCCACAGUUUAGAACUCCUUAUUUUUCUUAUUUGUGUCUAGCAAAACUGAGUUUUCAAUCAUCAUUUUCACAAUUUGCUUGUACAUUUUUAUUUCUCUACCUCCAUCUAGAUCUACGUGCUUUGAGUAAUUUGGAGGAGCUUGAUCUAAGAGGUAAUGAGGU
rnacentral:lncRNA from 1 species